UAUGGAGGGUGCGAGCGUUGUCCGGAAUCAUUGGGCGUAAAGGGCGCGUAGGUGGCGGGACAAGCGUGCGGUGAAAGCUCGGGGCUCAACCCCGAGUCGGCCGUGCGAACUGUUUUGCUGGAGCACUGUAGAGGCAGGCGGAAUUCCGGGUGUAGCGGUGGAAUGCGUAGAGAUCCGGAAGAACACCAGUGGCGAAGGCGGCCUGCUGGGCAGUAGCUGACACUGAGGCGCGACAGCGUGGGGAGCAAACAGG
rnacentral:rRNA from 1 species